UUGAGCCGUGUGAGCGCGAAAGUCUCAUGCACGGUUCUUAGGGGAGGGGAGAGCGGUGACUCUCGAACCUUACCCGAC
rfam:Tolypothrix bouteillei VB521301 scaffold_15, whole genome shotgun sequence.